rnacentral:rRNA from 1 species
GACGAACGCUGGCGGCGUGCUUAACACAUGCAAGUCGAACGGUAAGGCCCUUCGGGGUACACGAGUGGCGAACGGGUGAGUAACACGUGGGUGAUCUGCCCUGCACUUCGGGAUAAGCCUGGGAAACUGGGUCUAAUACCGGAUAGGACCACUGCCUGCAUGGGUGGUGGUGGAAAGCUUUUGCGGUGUGGGAUGGGCCCGCGGCCUAUCAGCUUGUUGGUGGGGGGAUGGCCUACCAAGGCGACGACGGGUAGCCGGCCUGGGAGGGUGACCGGCCACACGGGGACGUGGGUACGGCCCAGACUCCUACGGGGGGCAGCAGGGGGGCAUAUUGCACGAUGGGCGCAAGGCUGAUGCAGCGACGCCGCGUGAGUGAUGACGGCCUUCGGGUUGUAAGCCUCUUUCAGCACCGACGAAGCGCAAGGGACGGUAGGUGCAGAAGAAGGACCGGCCAACUACGUGCCAGCCGCCGCAGUAA